AUACGGAGGAUCCGAGCGUUAUCCGGAUUUAUUGGGUUUAAAGGGUGCGCAGGCGGGAGAUUAAGUCGGCGGUGAAAUUUUGCAGCUCAACUGUAAAAGUGCCUUCGAAACUGGUUUCCUUGAGUGUAGAUGAAGUAGGCGGAAUUUGUGGUGUAGCGGUGAAAUGCAUAGAUAUCACGAGGAACUCCGAUUGCGCAGGCAGCUUACUAAACUACUACUGACGCUCAGGCACGAAGGCGUGGGGAUCAAACAGGAUUAGAUACCCUGGUAGUCCACGCAGUAAACGAUGAUUACUAGCUGUUUGCGAUACAAUGUAAGCGACUGAGCGAAAGCGUUAAGUAAUCCACCUGGGGAGUACGUUCGCAAGAAUGAAACUCAAAGGAAUUGACGGGG
rnacentral:rRNA from 1 species